CCACAUUCUUCUGCACAGGAAAAUCCAAUUUUAUCCGCUCUAACAAAACCCCUGCCAUUGCCUGAUCCAGAGCCCACACCCCGAGUCAGCUGGUGUCUGUCUGGUUUGCUAUUUUUGAAAGGAAAUCCACUGUAGGCAUUGCGUUCGAAAGAGAAGCAGCCCUGCCCAGGCUUGGAGCAAUGCUGACGCGCAAAUCUGAACUCCCUCUCUGAGCCUCGGCUUGUCCCUCUGUAAAAUGGGCGCUUAUCUGGAGAGGCUGCUGUGGAGGCUGCCUCCGUCGACAGAGCUCCAGGCAGGUCGCACAGAUUUUCCUUGCAUGCAAAGGAUGCACCGCGGGGUUGUGGAAUACCUUUGAGGAUGUUGUGCAGUGACCCCCAACCCCCAGGACGGCUGUAUGGUGCACUCUGAAAACCAGCUUGAGCGAAUUUGGGGAAGUCUGUAUCAGUCCGAGUUUCCUAACUGGUGGGAGCAUUCGUGGAGCGUCUCGUGUGUGCCUGGUGAAACUGGACUCUGGGCGUCCCUCGUAGGGACAGGGUUUCACCAUAUUGGCCAGACUGAUCUCGAACUCCUGAUCUCAUGAUUCACCCACCUCGGACUCCCAAAGUGCUGGGAUUACAGGCAUGAACCACCUCACCUGGCCCUUGGGUGCCUUUACUUCUUACCAGAGUAAACCAGCACUUCUUCUCUGUGACAUCACCCCGGGAGAGAGCCCAUUCUCGUCCCCACCAUUGCCAGUCUGCAUCAGGUGGAGAACACAUAAGAAAAACACAAUCUACAUAAUAUGCCAUAGCUACCAUUUAUACAAAAAAAUUUACACAAAAUGACUAAGGAUAUAUAUAUUUGUGUAGGGAGAAGUGCUUGCUGUUUUAUUUUUUUUUAUUUUCAAGCCUGAAAGAUGACACACAGGUCUCAAAACUGUAACUUCUGCUUGAAGUCUGGGGGUGCCGGAGCUGCAAGCAGUUUGGCACACGCUGCAGUAUCAGAAACUAGUGAGCUAAAUCCUUGAUGCAAGUUCUGUUUACACUUAAACAGGCAAAGCUGAUCAGGUGUCUGAAUGAGCAAGAUAUGUUGUGUUCAUUUAAACCACUUGUGUUCGUGAAUCUAAAAAGCCAUGUUUGAAUUUCUAUAACUUCUGUGUGAAUUUCAUGUCUGAAGGUGUCCUUGAAGUCAACUGCCUUGUUCUUCAUAGAAUCAAUCCCUCAUCUCUGUUGGACGUGUAAAGGGAAGAUAAGAUGGGCUCUGAUGCUGGGGAUGGGGAGGAAAGAGAAGCAGUAGAGACAGAGCCUAGGGAGAUGCUUUGGGACCCCAGUAUGCAAAAUAACCACAUGUGAGGGAGGAGGUCGAGUUGCUUAAGAAGCCUGUGGCUUUCUGGGAAAGAGGGAAUUAAACUCUUCCAACCCACCUUCCUAUUAUUCACAGUUAAUUAGUGGCAGAAUAGGGUUUAACAGAACUUUUCAUUUAUUUAUUUUUUGAGAGAUUGACAUUGUCUCACUCUCUAUUGCCCAGGCUGGGUACAGCAGUACAAUCAUAGCUCACUGCAGCCUCAAACUCCUGGGCUCAAACAAUCCUCUUGCCUCAGCUUUCCAAGUAGCUGUGACUACAGGUGUGCACCACCACACCCAGCCUAACAGGACUUCUGAAGCAAGAGAGGGAAGCUAGGUUCCUGUGAGGAUCCUAUUUUUAUUUCAGCAACAGAGGCUGUGCAGGAGCAAGUUCAACAGUGACAUCUUGUGGAGCCAUGAAGCAAGAGCAGUGCUAGACUCCGCCCCUCACACCUCUUAGGAACUGGCGAGAGCCUUGGACUGGCCACUUUAACGGCUCCGUGCCUCCGUUUCUCCCGUUGUUAAUUCGGAAUGACUCACAUUCACUAGCUUCCUGUGUCAUGGAGUUGUUCUGAAAACAACAUUUUAAACAUUAGCCAGCCAGGACGGUUCAGUAAAUGCUGACCCAUCUGUGUCGUGACAUGGUGGGAAGCCAUUUAAAGGAAUGAUUGACAGAUUGACUUGACAUGAUAAUGAAUACAGUUAAAUGAGAAAAGCUGAUAGUCUGGGUUUUUCUGGGUUUUUUUUUUUUUUUUUGAGAUGGAGUUUCUUUCUUGCUGCCCAAGCUGGAGUGCGAUGGUGUGAUCUCAGCUCUACCUCCUGGGUUCAAGUAAUUCUCCUGCCUCAGCCUCCCAAGGAGCUGGGAUUACAGACAUGUGCCACCACGCCUAGCUAAUUUUAUAAUUUUAGUAGAGAUGGGGUUUCUCCAUGUUGGUCAGGCUGGUUUUGAAUUCCCGAUCUCAGGUGAUCCACCCGCCUUGGCCUCCCAAAGUGCUGGGAUUACAGGUGCGAGCCACCACACCUGGCCUGUUUUUUUUUUUUUUUUUUUAAGAUAUCUGGAGGUAUAAUUGACAUACCAAAAAAUUGCACAUAUUUAAUGUGUAUAAUUUGAUGAGUUUGGACAUAUGCAUGCAACUGCUGCUAGUCUUACCACAAUCAAGAAUCAAGUAUUACCUUGUAAUCCCAGCACUUGCAGAAGCCAAGGCAGGUGGAUCAUUUGUCAGGAGUUCAAGACCAGUCUGGCUGAAAUGGUGAAACUCCGUCUCUACUAAAAAUACAAAAAUUAGUUGGGUGUGGUGGUGUGUACCCACAGUCCCAGCUAUUCAGGAGGCUGAAGCACGAGAAUUACUUCAACCUGGGAGGCAGACAUUGCAGUGAGCCAAGACUGCACCACUGCACUCCAGCCUGGGUAACAGAGCAAGACUGUCUCAAAAAAAGAAAGAAGGAUCAUCAAGGUAAUAAACAUAUCCAUCACCUCGAAAGCUUUUCGUGUGUCCUUUUAUGUGUGUGGUAAGAAUAUUUAACAUGGGAUCUACCCUCUUAACCAAUGUUUAGGUGCACCAUCUCCUACUGUUAUCUAUAUACAGCAGAGCUCUCAAACUUAUUCGUUGUGUAUAACCAAUUUUUGAUAUCUUGUUUUUGUAAAAAUAAAUACACACAUUUGUCAUUACAUAUAUGUGUAUAUGUGUGGUUGGUUCUGGUGUCUUGGGAUGUAGAGAAGCCCU
ensembl:lncRNA